ensembl:lncRNA
AGAAAAAUCAAAUGUGCUGAUGACGCUGUUUUGGAAGAGGUGGUCAGCAGCCCAUGGGACCGGCGGCCCAGCACAGAGCUGGGCAUGACACGACACAGAGCCAGCGAGGCUAUCAGCCCCCAGCACAGCUUUAAGGUCAUUUCUACCUCUUCUUAACCUUUCCACAGAUUCCAGUGCCACUUUGCUUCUGGAAAAGGAUUCUGCAGGCAGCCUCUGCUCCCGGCUAACAGCAAUAGAAUGAGAGGUGGCAGCCUCACGUGGUGCCAGGGGAGGUUUGGGCUGGGUGUGAGGAACAAUUUCAUUUCAGAAAUAGCAUACGGGGCCGCUCGGUCUUUGCAAACACACCUCACGGAGCUUCCCUGCAGCUCCCUCCUCUGCAUUUGCAAAGCACGCUCUGUGCACAGCCCUCUCUCUGCAAAACCACUGCUGUGACUCGGAUUCGAACCGAGGUUGCUGCGGCCACAACGCAGAGUACUGACCACUAUACGAUCACAGCUGCACGCGGGGAGGCAGUGCACAGCACUGAGCAGAGGGAGGAGAGAGCCAAUGGGGUGGCUGAGGGGCAGGAGCAGUGCAGAAUACUGCAGGUCCUUCCGUUCAAUCUGACACAGAUCCAUUAGGAUGACAAAAGCAGAAGCAAAUCUUCCACUGGUUUUCUGUUUUUGUUGUUAUUUUUUUAAUUUUCAAACAAAAUAAGUCUCGCUACUGAUAAAUACGAACACCAUAAUACAUUCUAUAUCUAUCCCAAGGCAAGUCAGAAGUUUGGACAGCCUUUCCUUACUGGGGUUGUAGGAGCCAUCAGCCUGGACUUCUGUGUUCCCUUUUGUCUCUCCGUGCUUGUCCCUCCCAGAAUCACUCUGGGGCCUCCUCAUCCUUGCAGAUGUGGUGGGUGUCCAUGGUCCCCCCGCUGCUUUGCCCUUCUGCUUCCCUGGGGGUGAUGCAGGGGAAGGAGGUUGCUGAGCAGAUGAGGACUGCCAGUGCCAGUCCUGUGGGGUUUGUGCACCGGAGUGUUUUCAGGGAGUGCAGCAACACCCCAGGGAAGCAUCUCAGCUCUAUCUGGAGGCAUUUUCCGGUGGUGUGGAACACUAUCUUGCUGUACACCUCCUUCUUCAGCUGCAGCUUGGGGCGGGGGACAGGCACUGCAGCACUGUUGCAGCUCCCAUCCCUGACUCUGCCCCCACGUGAGCCCAUUGGCACGGCCAUAGAAAACCUCGCUGGCAGUCCUGAGUCCUCUCUGCCUGUGCCGAGAAGGACUGGGGGCACAGUGGGAAAGCAGGAAGGCCAGAAGCGAUUCUCUGCCCUGAAGAUCCAGGAAGUGCUGGGAGAGUCCUGGUGCCAGUCCAGAUGUGUGUGUGACUACUCCCACUCAUUCCCAGGGUGCUUGGCUGCACUGCCCUGACCCAGGCCUCGUGGCCUCCACAUGCCGGGCAUGCAGAG